UACAGAGGUCCCAAGCGUUGUUCGGAUUCAUUGGGCGUAAAGGGUGCGUAGGCGGCGCGGUAAGUCGGGUGUGAAAUCUCGGAGCUUAACUCCGAAACUGCAUUCGAUACUGCCGUGCUGGAGGACUGGAGAGGAGACUGGAAUUUACGGUGUAGCGGUGAAAUGCGUAGAUAUCGUAAGGAAGACCAGUGGCGAAGGCGGGUCUCUGGACAGUUCCUGACGCUGAGGCACGAAGGCCAGGGGAGCAAACAGG
rnacentral:rRNA from 1 species